rnacentral:rRNA from 1 species
UGCGUAGAUAUUAGAAGAACACCAGUGGCGAAGGCGGCUUUCUGGACGACACCUGACGCUGAGGCGCGAAGCCCAGGGGAGCGACCGGGAUUAGAUACCCCGGUAGUCCUGGCCGUAACGAUGGGACUAGUGUAGGAAGGUAUCGACCCCUUCUGUGCCGGAGUUAACGCAAUAAGUACCCCGCCUGGGGAGUACGGUCGCAAGGCUGAAACUCAAAGGAAAUGACGGGGGCCCGCACAAGCGGUGGAGUAUGUGGUUUAAUUCGACGCAACGCGAAGAACCUUACCAGGUCUUGACAUUGAUGGACGAAACAAGAGAUUGUUUUUCUCCUUCGGGAGCCAGAAAACAGGUGGUGCACGGCUGUCGUCAGCUCGUGUCGUGAGAUGUUGGGUUAAGUCCCGCAACGAGCGCAACCCCUAUCUUAUGUUGCCAGCACUUCGGGUGGGAACUCAUGAGAGACUGCCGCAGACAAUGCGGAGGAAGGCGGGGAUGACGUCAAGUCAUCAUGCCCCUUAUGACCUGGGCUACACACGUACUACAAUGGGCUUUAAUAGAGGGAAGCGAAGUCGCGAGAUGGAGCAAACCCCAGAAACAAGCUCUCAGUUCGGAUCGUAGGCUGCAACUCGCCUACGUGAAGUCGGAAUCGCUAGUAAUCGCAGGUCAGCAUACUGCGGUGAAUACGUUCCCGGGCCUUGUACACACCGCCCGUCACACCACGAAAGUCGGAAGUACCCAAAGCCGGUGGGGUAACCUUCGGGAGCCAGCCGUCUAAGGUAAAGUCGAUGAUUGGGGUGAAGUCGUAACAAGGUAGCCGUAUCGGAAGGUGCGGCUG